rnacentral:lncRNA from 1 species
GGUUGGUUAUUUGUGGAUUCUUUACCAUGAUUCAUCCUUUAGGUGCCUGGCACAUUUCUUUGCUAACUUCCUGAGUGUAGGUUGGUGGGUGGGGUUGAAGCCGAGCUGUUGCCUCUCGGAGGAUAGCUUCCUUGUUCUUUCACACAGGAGCAGAUCAUGCAUGACAACUCCUUUUACCUUCAAAACUGUCAUCGCUUGUCCAUCUCGUGCCCUAUUAAAUGCUGUGAAAGACAAGCCAAGGUUCCGUGCUCCACGGGAGACCUCCCAAUGGUUAUAUGGCUCCUCACCAAGCUUGCCUCCAGGGAGAGAAUGUGAUGCAGGAAGUCUCUUAAGUGUCCAAUUUCUCAGCAGUUGUCGUUCCCACGGUGAACUUUAAAACUGGCAUUCUGGUUUUACACUUCAGACUCUGCUGCCUGAGUGAAUCUCUUUCUAAGAGAUGGAUCUGCAAUUGAUGUGCAAAUAAAUUGCAUUUCUGGACCUGAAAGACUGAAAGCUAGAUUUUGAAUGGUUUAGAAUGCAUCCUGAAGCUACCUGGAUUUCUCUUAAUGAAACUCAAACCUUGAAGCUCACCUGUCCAAGCAGUGAAGCUUACACUGUCAUUCAUUAAUCUCCAUAUCCCUGUCUUUAAAUGGGAAAAUAUAUGCUAACUUCAAAAUUGGUAACAUACUAAGGAAUAUUUAGGGCACAAACCCAUGUGCAACUUGGAAACUACUGAUAAAGAAAUGGACGAGAUUCCAGGUCAAGAUGGCAGACUGCAUGAAUGCAUGAAGCCCUCCUCCCUUUCAAACCACAUAGGAAUACUGCAUAAUGUACAUGGUUUUUACAAAAUUCGAAAUGCAUAGCUAAGCCCAAAAGCAAGAAUGAGAACCUGCAGGUACCAGAAACAUUGCAAUGAGUAGAAGUUGAAACUGUUUAGCCAUGGAAGUAACUAAACCAGAUAUAUACCUGUGUGGGUAGAGGUUUUAAAGCCUCCAUGGGGGAUGGAGUUGAAGCCAAGGCUCCACAUUUGGCACAGGAGCAGAAACUGAACCCCUUAGCAGAAGCCAGGCACCAGUAAAUGUCUUUUCUGUCCUUGAAAUGGAAUUAGAAGAACUUUAUCACUGACUCAAACCCAUAGCCUUUAAGAAAUAGAACCCCUCAACCUCUCAAUUGGCCCUGCCUGAGACUAUGAGAUCAGAAUUCUUAACCUGACUGCCUACAAGGUGCAAAAACAAUGAGCCUAGAUAUAAAUGUAAAACUUUGGCCCUGAGAUUUUCUCUGUAGCCCCAAUAGAGGCAAUUAUGAAAAUUCUCAUGGAAGAGUCUCUGAAAGCCAGAAUAUGUGCCACAGGUGUAAAAAAUGGUUCAUGCUGAAGAUACAGUCCAGACAGCAUUUGAAAACAUCAAAUGCUAUAGGACAUCAUCAGCAAACAAUAAAUGGCCAUACCCAAGAAACCAUAAAUAAUAAAUCAAUAUGAGUGGAACUUUAAAAUAAGUUUACUUGAAAUAUACAUAUAUGGAGAAAGAAAUAAAGUCUAUCAGGCAUGAAAAAGAUAUAAUGAAAACAAAAAAGGUAGAUUCGAAAAAAGAACUACUGGAAAUUAUAGAAGUAAAAAAAAAAAUACAGUGAUUUGAGAAAAAUAUACAAUGGAGAAUUUAAACAGACAACUAGAGCUAGCCAAAGAGAGAAUUGGUGAACUGAAGUACACAGCUGGGCAAUCUCCCAAAAUAAGGCACAUAUAUAUAUACAUAUAUACACACAUACAAGCUGUUUUGACCUUAGCUAUGCAAUUUGAAUUUUGUAAAAACCAUAUACAUUACACAGCAUAUAUGCAUACACACACAAAUAGAAAAUAAAAAUGGAAAAAAAGAACUAUGAGCUCCAAGAUGCAUAAAAGGAGAAUUCUAAAAGGAGUGGGGAGAGAGAAUAAGUGUAGCAAUUGGAAGGUGUUAGGCUACAAGUAAUAGAAAUUCCAACCAACAGUGACUUACAGAAGAGGAUUAUUUCUGACCCACAGCAAGAAUUCUUGGGGAACAGGCUGUACAGAGCUAGAGCAGCAGCUCACCCCAAGCCAAAAAUAAACAAACAAAUAAAUAAGCAAAUAAAUUCUAGGUGGAUUAAAGAUAUAAACAUGAGAGAUAAACCUGAAAGUCAUUACAAGAAAAUAUUGGAAAAUAAUUCUAUGACCUACAGUAGAGAUUUCUAUAUAUUUUUUAAACAGAAAAAAAACAUAGCUUAAAUAGAUCAAAAAUUAAUUUUUUUGAAUCCUACUUCAGGCAAAAUUAAAAGCAACAGAUUUGGGGUAAAUGUUCACAGUCCACGUAACCUACAAAAAUUAGUAUCCAGAGUUUCUGUAGAUUAUAAAGGUAAAGAUAAACAAAGCAAAUACAAAUAGGAACAAAAGAUAGGAAAAUGCAAUCCAGAAAGGAGGGAUGACCCUGAGUGGGUAAUAAACAAAUGAAGCAGUAUUCAUCCUCGUGUCACUGGUGGUCAGGGAAGCGCAAAUUAAAACUGAGAUAAAAUCGCACAAUAUCAAAUGUUGAUGAGAAUGUGAUGAAACGUGAAGUGGAAACUUUAAGCCUCGCUAGAGCAGAGGGGCUGUAAUAUAAUACAUCCCCUUGGGAGAGCAAUCUGGCAAAGUCUGCUAAAACUGAAACUUUAAUAAUUACUUGUAUGCUUAUGCUAAAGAGAUUUUCUCAUGAGCACUCAAAGGUUAUAUAUUUAUAAGAAAUUUUUAGCAGCCUUGUUAAUAGUAGCAAUAAAUUAGAAAGAAUAAUUUUUAUCAAAAAUAAAAAUUGAAAUAAAUUUCAGUAUAUCCAAACAUAAAAUUGUUAAUUGUUAAAUUAAUUAAAUUGAGGUGCAUCAAGUGGAUAGCUACCAUAAACCAAACCAAGAAUGAAAAAGAGUUGCAGGGCCGAGCACAGUCACUCAUGCCUGUAAAUCCCAGCACUUUGGGAGGCCGAGGUGGCAGGAUCACUUGAGCCCAGGAGUUUGAGACCAGCCUGGUCAACAUGGAGAAGCCUCAUCUCUACUAAAAAUAUAAAAAUUAGCCGGGCGUGGUGGCACAUGCCUGUAAUCCCAGCACUUUGGAACUUUGGAAGGUUGAGGCAGGCAGAUCACUUGAGGUCAGGAGUUUGAGACCAGCCUGGCCAACAUGGUGAAUCCUGUCUCUACUAAAAAUACAAAAAUUAUACAGGCAUUGUGGCACAUGCCUGUAAUUCCAGUUACUCGGGAGGCUGAAUCAGUGGAAUAGCUUGAACCUAGGAGGCGGAGGUUGCAAUGAGUCGAGAUUGUACCACUACACUCCAGCCUGGGCAACAGAGUAAGACUCCCAAAAACAAACAAGCAAAUAUAUAUAUAUAUAUAUA